rnacentral:rRNA from 1 species
CCUACGGGUGGCAGCAGUGAGGAAUAUUGGUCAAUGGACGCAAGUCUGAACCAGCCAUGCCGCGUGCAGGAAGAAGGCCCUAUGAGUUGUAAACUGCUUUUGUACGGGAGUAAACGCAUAUACGUGUAUGUGUCUGAAAGUAUCGUACGAAUAAGGAUCGGCUAACUCCGUGCCAUCAGCCGCGGCAAUACGGAGGAUUCAAGCGUUAUCCGGAUUUAUUGGGGUUAAAGGGUGCGUAGGCGGGCGGAUAAGUUAGGUGUUAAAUCCCGGGGCUCAACUUCAGUAUAGCCUGUGAUACUGUUCGACUAGAGAGUAGGAGCGGUAGGCGGAAUGUAUGGUGUAGCGGUGAAAUGCGUAGAGAUCAGACAGAACACCGAUUGCGAAGGCAGCAUACCGG